UACGGAGGGUGCAAGCGUUAUCCGGAUUCACUGGGUUAAAGGGUGUGUGAGCGGGUCUGUAAGUCAGUGGUGAAAUCUCCGAGCUCAACUUGGAAACUGCCAUUGAUACUAUAGAUCUUGAAUUUUGUUGAGGUAGGCGGAAUAUGUCAUGUAGCGGUGAAAUGCAUAGAUAUGACAUAGAACACCGAUUGCGAAGGCAGCUUACUAAGCAAAUAUUGACGCUGAGGCACGAAAGCGUGGGGAUCAAACAGG
rnacentral:rRNA from 1 species